GUGCUCACUUCAGCAGCACAUAGACUAAAAUCAGAACCACGCAGAGAAGAUUAGCAUGGCCCCCGGGCAAAGAUGGCAUGCAAAUUUGUGCGUUCCAUGUUUUC